AUUAACUAAACUGUACUAACAAUUAUCUUAUCUUGCUGGUCGUAAUUAUUCAUCUUCCCCUUUAUAUCCAAAUAGUGUCGCGCUUUCUUAAUAUUUACAUUUUUUACCCUUUUCAAUGAAACGUUACUUUAUUAGUGUUGAAAAAAUGUUUUAUUUCAGAUUAACUGUCUGAACUAUUCAUAUUUAUUCGAUAAUCUAAUCAACAAAUUAUAUUUACCACUAAGUAUCUCCAUCGUCUUAUUCAAGUAUUCAUUUCCCUUUCAUCUCCUUUUACAGUUACACCUUACAAACCUCUUUGAUCACAUGGGAAUGAAUUGCCAAUUAUCCGGAUACUCCAAUCAAGCUUGAUUCAGUUCACCCAAUCACACAUUACUGGUUUUUUCAUUUUCCUUUCAUUAUGUUAACGGAUUUCCAGGGAAUCAGCAAAAAGUCAAGACAAAUGUGCAAUCCAAGGCAAGAAUCAAGACAUGGAUAGGACAAAAUGUUGGCGAUUAAGAUGAAGUAACACAAUGAAAAGGAUGCUGAUGAUGAUAUAAAAAGAAUAUGAUGAGAAACUCAACCAACCAAAGGCUCUUUUUUAUCAUCAUCAUCGUCAUCAUCAUCAACAACAACAACAUCUCAUACUCAACAAGGUUUGCGGUUGGUUGCAAUAUGAUUGAGACAAAAUCAAAAGGAAAAGACAAGGGAAAGCAAAACCUUCAUUGGAGUCGUUCAACUGAUGCUGAUCAUUUAACUAAAGCAAAAUUUAAAACUUUGAAAACAACCUGAACACCUACAUUGGCAACCAGAGUUAUCAAUUAUGACAGAGAGAUUCCAUGAAUUCAUCAUUUACCAAUGAAUUUAUGGAAAAGCAGGAGAAGAGGAGAACCAACAAGACUUUAUGAUUUCAUAUCAAAGUACAAAAGGGUUACAAAAUGGAUAAAAGGAAUACAACGAAAAAAGAGUUUCAGGUUACAGUGAAAGAAAAAGCAAAGUUGAAAGAGGCCAAUUUCAUUAUCAGAUUACCUAUCAUGAUGACCGCAAGUUGUGUUAAUCAAGAAAGGAAAAGGCCAAAGGAAAACAAUACGAUAAUAAGCUUGGACCUUGACUUUCACACAAAGUUAACGAGUCAGGAAGGAUUUCACUUUUCUUGCCCGGCAGAGACACACAAUCACCAAGCAAGACAUUAUUAUGCUAUUUUGCAGGCCAAAACCAAUCAUUCAAUUGUAUCUUGAAAACCAUGACCAUCUCUUGGGACUAUCUCAAGCAAAAAGGUAAAAACGGCAAAAGAGAGAAAAGACUUAAAUAUAUAUUAUCUCAGGAGGAGUUGAAGGAUACAAGAUAUUGAAAGAUUUCCUAUAGAACGACUGCCCAGAAAGGAGGAACACAAGACUAAAGAAAGUGGAUAAAGAAAGAGGCCCGAUAGUCCACCUCCCCUUAAGGUGGGGUGGGAAAUUGAAUGUGUUUUUUGUGCUUCUCGUUACUUGGUUCAGUUUUUGGUUGUAAGGCUAAUAACAAGCAAACUGGAAAUGCAAGGAAAAGAGGAAAAGCAAAAGCAAUGGAAAUCAGCUGAAAGGCAAAGGCAAAGAACGAAAAGUUUGCUUCUUUUGAUAAAAAGAUUGGCUCAUUUUUUAUGGGAAUAGAGGAGAUGGUGAAGAUGGAGAAGAAGAUGACGGAGAUGAUGAUGAUAAUGAAGGAGCAAAAAUGAGGAAAGCAAGUUAAAGAAGGAAAGAAAGAGCUAAAAGAGAGUGAUUCUUACGGUUAAUUUGGUAACUGAGAGGCUAUUCAUCGAGUUAACAGUUCGUAAAUCUUAUAAAUCAAUUUGCCUACUCAACCUAAACAGGCGUUAAUAUACAUUUUAUCGCAUUAUCAUCAAAUAUUGGAUUGAAACUUGAAAAAUAUCAACACAGACAGACAUAAAUAUGAAUGGUGUUUGUAAUAUUUUUCAAUGGUUAAACUCAUGGAAGCAACAAAUUCAUUAUUGUCAUCAAUUUGUGUGUUUUUUUGUUGUUCAUUUGAGAUCAAUUUACCUUCAUCUUUCCUCUUCAUCUUCCUCUUUUUGUAUACAUUUAUGUACAAAGUAAAAAAAGAGUGGACAAGAUGAUAGAAAAGAUGAAAAAUGUUUUCUCUUUUAACCUGUUCUCUCUUUUUUUGAAAUAUUUUUGAUAAAUGUUCUUGUUGCUUGUUAACAUGUGAAAUUUUGCAAAUUGAUUCUUCUUCUUCCAAUGUCACCCUCUAAUGUAAUUGUUAACUUGUUGAUUAUUAAUCAUCUGUUGACAAAAAAGGAACCUUUAUGGAAGCCUAAAUGGUCAACAGUUUGUUGACCUAAUGACCAUUAAUAAGUGACAAAAGGAAAGAAAAGAAAGCGAAAAAGAAAACGCAAUUUAAAGCAACAUUUUCCAUUGAACCGAUCAAUUGAAUUUAAUAUCACUCAUUAUACCUCCCACAUUUUUCUCGCUCUCCCAUCAUCAUUACUCUUUCUCAUCUUUCCUUCUCUUCCUCUCUCUCUCUCUCUCUCUCUCUCUCUCUCUCUCUCUCUCUCUCUCUCUCUCUCUCUCUCUCUCUAUCCUCCAAUGCGGUAACAAUUUUCAAGCCUAAGUUAACCUUAAAAGGACCAAUUUAAAUGUAAUUUGUAACAUUUUCAUCUCAAACCCUCCGUAUCUAAACCUGUGUCACCCACCUUCCACCCUCUUUGUUGUCCCCAAGCUCUUAAUUUGAACCUCAUUUUCCCAGCUUUUGUCAUUCAUUUUUUUCAUUCAUACCUUUACUCUAAUUUAACUGCAUUUACCUAUGAGGAUGAGAGAGCAAUCAAGACCAUCAGCAUUACCAGCACCAUCAUCAUCAUGGUUGUUAUAAAAAAAGACAAAAAUUUAGACAAAUUGAAUUUACAUAAUUCGCAUUGUUAAAAAGGUCAACCAUUAAUGGCACAAAGAGUAAUCUUUGAUUAUAUUUACUCACAUUUAGAUGAACCCAUUUCCACCCCAAUUUUAACCAAUCAAUCGAUAUGAAGAUGAUAAACCUUUACAAUCAGAUGAUCAAUAAUAUUGGAUAUCAAACAAUAAUGUCAUCACCAAAAAUAAUAACUGAAUAGCGGAUACAGUAGUGGUCAGGUUAAGUUAACUUCUUGCCAUGAGGACCGGACAGUCGCGGCAGCUUUCAAGGUGCUGUCAAUCCCUUACCACCUAAGUUUAACUUACCCAUAGACGCCAGGCUUUAUCCACCUUAGCUGAGAAUCCAUUAGGAAACGAGGAUUGGAUAGUUCAGGAGGCUUGACUCUUUAUUUAAUUAAUCAUUUUUUCUUAUCUCUGCAAAUUAAAUAUGAUCGAGAUGGAGACGUCUAAAAAUCAACUUGAAUCUGGCCCUUUUGGUUAAUUCAACCCUAACCAGAGGUAAGUGAAUGAAAGAAGAAAAAAACUGGCGAAUCUUUUCACAUGAAGUUACAAUUGAGAAAAAAAAUUGUUCCUAUUCCAUUCUAUCAUCAUUCCAUCAUCAUCCUAACUAUCCUCAUCAUAAUCACCAUUCUGAUCAACAUUAUCAUGACAAGAAUUUGUACAAGAAUUCAAUCAAUCACAGUUGACGAGGCUAUAAGAUGUUAACCCAUUGUAAAGCAAGGAAGCAAAAAAGGACCAAAUUUGAAGUGAAAAGAAAAGUAGAAAAAAAUGUUGCUCAUUUUGAUAAUUUAACCCAAACCAUGAACAGAGACCAAUGAUAAUUAUGAUGACAAACGACAAACGACAAGAAGUAAAAGAUGAAAUUGAAAAGGUAAAAAAUAUGCAAUUGAUAUCGAAAUCUUGCAAUGAAAAAGUUGCUCGAUGAUGCGAAAAUUCCUUAAUCACCUUAAUUAUUGUAUGUUUUACGUUGAGUAUUGGUUUUCAAUUAUAAACUCAUCAAUCCAACAGUUAAUCUCUUAAUCCUAUUUCAUUGUUUUCAUUUAUCACUUUUUUUUCAUCAACAUUUUCAUCAUUCACUUGAUUCUUGCUUUUCAUCAAAUCAAAAUGAACACCAAAUAGCAGAGAAAGCAUUGAAUCCAAAAAAAAAUAACUCAACCUGUAAACAAAUUGAACCAUUUGUCUUUCAAUUUUAAUCUGAAUCUUGAAUCACAACAAAACAAGUUUCCAGGUAAAAACUCAUCAUCACUCGAUAUGAAAGAAGCAAAGAAUCUUGAAACUCUAUUCAAUUCCUCUCCUAAUCUCAUUUCAUUAUACAUCAUCUUGCCUUUUAUAUUGUACAAAAGGCCCGAGGCAAUGAUAAUGAUAAACAUUUUCCAUGAAAUUUGCCUUCUACGUGAAAAAAGAAAAGAAACUUUUUACAUUUUUUUUCCUCUUCUCUUUAAAUAAUUGUUGACUAUUAUCAUUUUAUUACAUUAAAUUAUCAUAAUAAUGUUGAUGUAAAAAAAGAGGCAAAUCAAAGGCAUUAUAAUUAACCAGUGAAGAGAUGAAUGUUUCAAGAUUUCAACUUGUUUGCUUUUCUCCGAUAAAUUUUGACAAUUUAUUGACCAUUCAAGUCCAACUUGUGAUCCAUUAACAUGUAAACUCAUUGUUUUCAAGUGAGUUUUCAUCAUUCCAUUGAAGAAGCCAGGAAACUUGAAAUGCUUUUCAAUGGGCAAUCGGCUAUUUUUAUGGGUUGAAAAAAAAACAAAAUGUAAUGUUGAGUGAAUCAGAACUUUUUGACAGCAUUGGAAACGCAAGAAUGCAGGUUACAUGAUGGAUCGCUUUUUUGUUGACCUCUCAUGGUGUUUUAAUUUGUUGUGCUUUCUCUCUUUCUCCAUCUUCCUUAUCAUUCUCAUCCUCCACCACCCUUCAUCCUUGUAUUUGCUUGUUCUGUCCAGCGGGACUGAGUUGAAUAAAAAAUA